AUGAGAAAAGGAAGAGUAACUUUACAGCAUAAAGGGAGAAGGUUUCUCAUGAGAGAAGCUCACAGAAAACUAAAACAACCAUGGGCAAAAUGGCAACUACUCUUUUUCUGGAAAGAAAAAAAAUUAAAAACAGACAUCAAAAAGACGGCAGGAAGGAUGGGAGUGAGGAGAGAUGAGUUCAAGUUGAGCAGAAGAAAAAAGAAAACUACAACAAAACAUUCAGAACUAAGCAUGACAUUUCUGCUACUAGUCACGGAUGUGGCCUCUUCUUCCACAACAGGUUUCACAGCAGCAGAAAAAGUGGCCGUUCUGUGA
rnacentral:lncRNA from 1 species